rnacentral:rRNA from 1 species
GAUGAACGCUGGCGGCGUGCCUAAUACAUGCAAGUCGAGCGAACAGACGAGGAGCUUGCUCCUCUGACGUUAGCGGCGGACGGGUGAGUAACACGUGGAUAACCUACCUAUAAGACUGGGAUAACUUCGGGAAACCGGAGCUAAUACCGGAUAAUAUAUUGAACCGCAUGGUUCAAUAGUGAAAGACGGUUUUGCUGUCACUUAUAGAUGGAUCCGCGCCGCAUUAGCUAGUUGGUAAGGUAACGGCUUACCAAGGCAACGAUGCGUAGCCGACCUGAGAGGGUGAUCGGCCACACUGGAACUGAGACACGGUCCAGACUCCUACGGGAGGCAGCAGUAGGGAAUCUUCCGCAAUGGGCGAAAGCUUGACGGAGCAACGCCGCGUGAGUGAUGAAGGUCUUCGGAUCGUAAAACUCUGUUAUUAGGGAAGAACAAAUGUGUAAGUAACUAUGCACGUCUUGACGGUACCUAAUCAGAAAGCCACAGCUAACUACGUG